rnacentral:rRNA from 1 species
UAGUCUGGUGCCAGCAGCCGCGGUAAUUCCAGCUCCAAUAGCGUAUAUUAAAGUUGUUGCAGUUAGAACGCUCGUAGUCGGAUUUCGGGGCGGGCCGACCGGUCUGCCGAUGGGUACGCACUGGUCGGCGCGUCCUUCCUUCCGGAGACCGUGCCUACUCUUAACUGAGCGGGGGCGGGAGACGGAACGUUUACUUUGAAAAAAUCAGAGUGUUUCAAGCAGGCAGCUCGCUCUUGCAUGGAUUAGCAUGGGAUAAUGAAAUAGGACUUUGGUGCUAUUUUGUUGGUUUCGAACACCGAAGUAAUGAUGAGAAGGGACAGUCAGGGGCACUCGUAUUCCGCCGAGAGAGGUGAAAUUCUCAGACCAGCGGAAGACGAACCACUGCGAAAGCAUUUGCCAGGGAUGUUUUCACUGAUCAAGAACGAAAGUUAGGGGAUCGAAGACGAUCAGAUACCGUCGUAGUCUUAACCAUAAACCAUACCGACUAGGGAUUGGAGGAUGUUCACUGAUUGACUCCUUCAGCACCUUACGGGAAACUAAAGUCUUUGGGUUCCGGGGGGAGUAUGGUCGCAAGGCUGAAACUUAAAGGAAUUGACGGAAGGGCACCACCAGGUGUGGAGCCUGCGGCUUAAUUUGACUCAACACGGGGAAACUUACCAGGUCCAGACAUUGUGAGGAUUGACAGAUUGAGAGCUCUUUCUUGAUUUGAUGGGUGGUGGUGCAUGGCCGUUCUU